UAAUGUCUGGGAAACUGCCUGAUGGAAGGGGAUAACUACUGGAAACCGUAGCUAAUACCGCAUAACGUCGCAAGACCAAAGAGGGGGACCUUCGGGCCUCUUGCCAUCAGAUGUGCCCAGAUGGGAUUAGCUAGUAGGUGGGGUAAUGGCUCACCUAGGCGACGAUCCCUAGCUGGUCUGAGAGGAUGACCAGCCACACUGGAACUGAGACACGGUCCAGACUCCUACGGGAGGCAGCAGUGGGGAAUAUUGCACAAUGGGCGCAAGCCUGAUGCACCAUGCCCGUGUGUGAAGAAGCCUUCGGGUUGUAAAGCACUUUCACCGAGGANGAAGUGGUGAACUUAAUACUUCAUCAAUUGACGUUACUCGCAAAAAAACACC
rnacentral:rRNA from 1 species